rnacentral:rRNA from 1 species
CCUACGGGUGGCAGCAGUGAGGAAUAUUGGUCAAUGGGCGCUAGCCUGAACCAGCCAAGUAGCGUGAAGGAUGACUGCCCUAUGGGUUGUAAACCUCUUUUAUAUGGGAAUAAAGUGCAGUAUGUAUACUGCUUUGCAUGUACCUUAUGAAUAAGGAUCGGCUAAUUCCGUGCCAGCAGCCGCGGUAAUACGGAGGUGCCGGGCGUUAUCCGGAUUUAGUGGGUUGAAAGGGAGCGUAGGCGGGGUGUUAAGUCAGUUGUGAAAGUUUGCGGCGCAACCGUAAAAUUGCAGUUGAUAAUGGCAUCCUUGAGUACAGUAGAGGUAGGCGGAAUUCGUGGUGUAGCGGUGAAAUGCUUAGAUAGCACGAAGAACUCCGAUUGCGAAGGCAGCCUGCUGGACUGUAACUGACGCGGAUGCUCGAAAGUGUGGGUAUCAAACAGGAUUAGAUACCCUUGUAGUC